UACAGAGGGGGCAAGCGUUGUUCGGAAUUACUGGGCGUAAAGGGCGCGUAGGCGGCCUGUUAAGUCGAACGUGAAAUCCCCGGGCCCAACCCGGGAACUGCGUCCGAUACUGGCAGGCUUGAAUCCGGGAGAGGGAUGUGGAAUUCCAGGUGUAGCGGUGAAAUGCGUAGAUAUCUGGAGGAACACCGGUGGCGAAGGCGACAUCCUGGACCGGUAUUGACGCUGAGGCGCGAAAGCCAGGGGAG
rnacentral:rRNA from 1 species